UGGGGAAUAUUGGACAAUGGGCGAAAGCCUGAUCCAGCCAUGCCGCGUGUGUGAAGAAGGUCUUCGGAUUGUAAAGCACUCUAAGUUGGGAGGAAGGGCAGUAAGCGAAUACCUUGCUGUUUUGACGUUACCGACAGAAUAAGCACCGGCUAACUCUGUGCCAGCAGCCGCGGUAAUACAGAGGGUGCAAGCGUUAAUCGGAAUUACUGGGCGUACAGCGCGCGUAGGUGGUUCGUUAAGUUGAAUGUGAAAGCCCCGGGCUCAACCUGGGAACUGCAUCCAAAACUGGCGAGCUAGAGUAGGGCAGAGGGUGGUGGAAUUUCCUGUGGAGCGGUGAAAUGCGUAGAUAUAGGAAGGAACACCAGUGGCGAAGGCGACCACCUGGGCUCAUACUGACACUGAGGUGCGAAAGCGUGGGGAGCAAACAGG
rnacentral:rRNA from 1 species